rnacentral:lncRNA from 1 species
GUAUAAUAUAGAACUCCAUUAUUUGGUGAUUCAGAACAUGGAAUAAAACUUUCCUUUCCCCACAGGACCUAGAAUUUCUUUUGCACAUUAAUUUCUGUCUGAAUGUAUAAUAGAUUAUAUUGGCCUGUGAGUAAGGAGCCCUGGAUCCUAGCCCAGGUCUUUUGAUUCUAAGAAAUUUAAUGCUUUUUUACAUUCUGUGGCUACAGACUUACUUUAGCAGUGUCCUCCCAUUCUGAGGGCACCAGGGCACAUUCUCUCCCUUUGGUUGAAAAUGAAGGUAUUGGAGAUCAAGAUGCCACCCAAUCAUUUAGUUUUACAGCCAGAAGGAACCAGAGAGAUCACCUAGUUCAGUUCUCUCCACUAAGAGCCAGAGACAAUGUGCCUUACUCAAAAUCAAACAGAUACUGGCAGAACUAAGGCUAGAACCCCUACCUCCAAACUCAAUCAGAUUUUCAGUGUUCUUUCUUCACCACGCUGCCUCCCACCUGAAUGGUCCUUAGGGAACAAUUUUGGCAGGAAAAUUACAAUGAGCUUUUGUUGAUUGAAAUAAGUAUUAGGAGCUUCUCUGUGGAAUUUUGAUACCAUGAACUUUCUUAAAGUUUCCAUAAAGAUAGCAACACCUUCCUCAAUUUCCUCCCUAAAGUGAAACACUGAAUAAAGGAGUACAGAGGUAUUCAAUUUAGAUUCAUUUUUGAGGAAGUCAUCCAGGAGAAUACUUUUAAUGAACCAUGAAGGAUCAGCAUUAAUUCUGCCAGGACUUGAUAUGUACUCUCUCUUCUGUGUUCUCCCACCACCCACUAACAAAAAAAACAAAAGAAAAACCAACUCAUGUAACUAUAUUUGCUCCAGGAGACAAUGGUGGUGAUAGAACAGAGUUAGGGAAAAUACAUAUAUUUAUGUAAAGAAAAGGAAAAGGCUACUUAUUUAUCUACCAUCCCAUAUUCUAAUAGCACUUGGUAUCUUUUUUUUUUUUUUCACAGUGUACAAAGACCCCCAUUGUAGAUAUAAACCAGAUAAUGCAGCUUGACUGAAAAUGGCUUCCAUAGUGCAGACUCCCUCACAGGAAUAUUCACAUUAUUCCAUGGACCUAUAUGCAAACCCCAUCCAUGAAUGCACAACCUUCUAAGCAUUUAAAAAUAAAGAGGCCACAUAUUAGGUCCUGGCAAGAUGUCUCCAACUUCUAGC